AUGAAGAGCUUGUGCUUAAUUUUUAACAGGAGGAGAGGAUUCAAGCCCCAAGAAGAUCAAGAGUGCCCAUCCCCUUCGCUUUCGGAGUAUCCAAGGUGGAGCUCUUCCUCUCACAUAAAAGAGGAAUCGCAGGCUCUGGAUGUGAAAACUGUGCAUCUCCUACUAUUCACCUGUGUGCCCAAUGAAGUAACCCUUCCACCAUUUCCAGACCUGUCCAGGUAAGCAUUCAAAUAUCACGUGCAAGGCAGUUCACAAAAUAAGAAAACACAAGUGACUGAAGUGUAGGGAAGUUAUUUGCUCUGCCUCACUCAACUGAGAUUCAAUAUGUCACCAUUUGGAUUGUCAGUGAUUAAAGAGUUUGGCAGCGUGGCAUGGAGGCGAGUCUGUAUAGAUGGGCACUCCCUGUAUUGCUGGGAAGGAUAUAACUGGUGCCAUUCUGAUGUAAAACAAUUUGGCAGCAUCUCUAGAACUAUAACUGCAUGCCUCCUUUGACCAGCAAUUUUAUUUCUAGGAAUUUAUCCUGUAGGUAUAUUCAGAUAUGAGCUAAAUGAUGUGUUUCGAUUAGUCAUUGCCGCAUUAUUUGUGAUAGAGUUUGGAAUGUUCAAGAGUAAGGAACUAGUCAUGGGUAGACCUAUGACUGAUUCAUGCUGAUGUUUGGUAGAUACCAACACAGUACUGUAAAGCAAUCAUCCUUCAAUUAAAAACUAAAUUAUGUUUGGUAGAUACCAACACAGUACUGUAAAACAAUCAUCCUUCAAUUAAAAACUAAAUUUAAAAAAAAAAUUAAUAAAAAAGAGUAGGGAACUAGUUAAACUCUGGGACAUCCAGCCAAAGGACUAUAAUGUAGCUACCAAAGAGAAUGAGGAAAUUCUUUUCUGAUCUCGAGGAUCUUGAAGAUAUUCUUAUAAGGGGCAAAAGCAAAGGGAAAGUGUGAGGGUGAGUGGGAGACAGAUUAUAAAUACACGAUUGCUUGUAUAUACACAGAGUAUCACUGGAAGGAUUCUCAGGGAACUGCUUAUGCUCACUCCUGGGAGUGGGGGAUGGUGCUGGGUGGCUUGGGACAGGAUGGUAAGGAAACCGUCACUCUACACCCUUCUGUGACUUCCGGGUUUUAAAAUAUAUGAAACUUUUACCAACGAAAAAUUGGAAGUGAAAUAAAAAUAAAACUAUCAAAGUCAUGCACACAUCUUGCAUGUUCAUUUCUCUGAUGCACAAAUUAUUUGAAAUGUAAUAAAACUAGAGAAAUUAGAGGAGAAAAAUCAAAAGUAUUAAAGGACCUUGGAAAAAUGGCUCUCUAAGAAUUGGGCUCAUUUAGCUCCUGCAAGAAGAGGCCUGAGGAAGAUUUAUAACCUUUAAUAACAAGUCCUGAAAUAUUCAUAAGUAAGUUGAGGGCACAAAAAGUUGCUGUUCUCUUGCGUUGGCUGUUAACAUUAAAGUUCUGAAUGAGGAAAAUAUAGAAAUCCCUAAGUGAGAUA
rnacentral:lncRNA from 1 species